rnacentral:siRNA from 1 species
GGACUUUGCCACACCUUCGCCGGA